rnacentral:rRNA from 1 species
GCCGGUGAUUCACCGGCGCAUGCCCCACCUCUUCCCAUUCCGAACAGAGCAGUGAAAGUGCGCCGGCCCGAUGAUACUUGGUGUAAAUUAACGCCUGGGAAAGUAGGGUUCGCCGGCC